AUGCCGCGUUUGUGGAACACACUGAUUAGCACCGCUGAGGGAGGCGGGCUGCUCCCUGCAGGAGAACGUGAUGGUGUCUCUGGCCAACGCGCGCCUUCUGCUUCCUGUGUUCCAGCUGGAGAGGAGGAAGUGGCAGCUGGAGAGGAGGAAGUGGCAGCUGAGGAGGCCGGCGAAGAGGAGGCUGCCGCUGAUGGCGAAGGAGAGACCGUAGCCGAGGUCGUGGCCGAGGUUGCAGAGGUCGUCGCUGAGGCGGCGGAGGAGGUCGCCGAGGCGGCAGAGGAAGUUACAGAGGUCGCUCGUGAAGUGGAGGCGGUCGCGGGAGAGGUGGCUAAGGCGGCCGAAGCCGCCCCCCAAGCCGCCGCAGAACCAGCCGCCGAGGAGCCCGACAGCAACGUGCCGCUGGCUGCUGCUUCUGCUCUAGAAGUACCAAAGAUCAUUGAAGUGACGGAAGAGUUAGCCGCAGCCAUUCAGGACAUCGAUGAGUCCCUUGCACAAGUUGAGGAGGCUACCAAGCCAGCAGAAGAGUCCCCAGCACCAGUAGAGCCUGCACCAGUUGAAGACACCACAGCACCAGUAGAGGUUGCACCAGUUGAAGAGGCCCCAGCACCAGUAGAGGCUGCACCAGUUGAAGAGGCCCCAGCACCAGUAGAGGCUGCACCAGUUGAAGAGGCCCCGGCACCAGUAGAGGCUGCACCAGUUGUUGAGGAAGUCUUGGUACCAUCUGAACCUGAAGUUACCACAGCACUUGCUGAGGAACCAGUCACCACCGCAGUUGAUGAAGAGGCUCUGGCAACCAUCGCUGCAGAAGUAGCGACCCCUAUGGUGGUUGAAGAAGCGGCUACUGAGACCCUUGCAGAAGCUCCGAAGAGAGAGUACAUUGUUGUGGUCCUGGAAGGAACACCUAAAGCUGAUAAGUCACCCAAGGUGCUUGGAGUGGAGUCCAUGACUGGUAGAAUCAUCCCAACUCCAGACGACGACGUCUCUGCUUCUGAGUAA
ensembl:lncRNA